CUGAAAUCCCAAAGAUCACCUUCGCCCCAUAGUUCCGGACUAGGUCCUUAAUCGAAUAACUCACGGUCUUGGUUUCAGAAAGAUUUCGGAUUUGGUUCGUUGCGAAGGAAGAUUGUCUGCCCAGUGACCUUUGAAGCGUUCACGAAGCUGCCUCGAGAGCCAAUGAACGUAUGAAAAAUGCCCGACCAGCCUCAUGCUUAAAGAAAUGCCUCCUGUGAUAACAUUAAAAUAUCAUCUCUCCACCCAGUUCAGGAAAGUUUGAAAAAGUGGAUCUUGUGUCCUCCAUAGUGGGGAACUACUGGUGAGAGCGUCCGUUUUAAAAGCAGACUGGAAGGCAGAAUGGGAGUACUUAAAACUAUUUUAAACGCGACUGGCAGAGGAGUUUUACCAGCGCUGUGUAUAUAUAUGGUCAAAUUCACAGAUACAAGAAAGUUCAAAGCAGCAGGGAGGUUGGUGAAAAAAAGAGUUCUGGGACUUUCUUACAGUGAGAGUCUGUGCAACAACCAGCUCAGGAGAAUGAGGGCCCCUGCACAUGACGUACCUGUGUUUGCUUCUUCAUGGAAAGAAAGUCUGAGAAGACGCACGCCAAAUUAUUAUCAAUAAAUAUUUCUGGGAAGGGGGAUAAUUGAGAGGAGAGGGACAGUUUUGUUUUCUACUUUCUACAUAUUUUAUUGUUUACAGCAAGCAGAAGUGACUUAUCUAUAUUUUCACACAGUUAGUACAUGAAUAUAGUUUCAUAAAACUUCAAACAAUAGAGAUGCAUCUUGAGAAAAAACUAAGUUUCUCUUUCCCCCACCUCCUUCCCACACCUCCCUCCAGUUAAUCACUGUUACUAGUUUGAUGUACAUCCUCCCAGACAUCUUAAGCAGUUGUGUACACAUGUAAACACAUAUACAAAUAUUCAGGUUUACUUUCACGAAAAUAGAAUUAUACUGUUCAUAUUAUUGCAUGAUAUUUCAUUUUUACAAGUUUUUGAAAGUCAGAAGGUUUUUUUCAUGUGGUCCAUAAACAUGUGAAAAACCUAUCGUAUUAGUUUCCCAUGGUUGCUGUAACAAAUCACUGCAAACUUGGUGGCUUUAAACACCAGGAAUGUAUUCUCUCACUGUUCUCGAGGCCGGAAGUCCGAAAUGAGUUUCACUAAAUCAAAAUCAAGGUGUUGGCAGGGCCAUGUUCCCUCUGAGGCUCCAGGGAGAAUAUACUCCUUGCCUCUUCCAGCUUCUGGUAGCUGCCGGCAUUUUUGCGAUCUCAUCACUCCAGUUUCUGCCCAUGUGGUCACAUGGCCUUCUCGGUUUCUUUGUCAAAUCUCUCUGCCUCCUUCUUAGAAGGAAGGACGCUGUGAUGUCAUUUAGGGCCCACCCAGAUCAUCCUGGAUAAUCUCCCCAUCAAGAUCGUUAACUUAAUCACACCUGCAAAGACCCCAUUUCCUUAUAAGGUAAUAUUCACAGGUUCCAGUGAUUAGUACAUGGAUCU
rnacentral:lncRNA from 1 species